AUUGAACGCUGGCGGCAGGCCUAACACAUGCAAGUCGAGCGAGCGGCGGACGGGUGAGUAAUGUAUGGGGACUGCCCGACAGAGGGGGAUAACUACUGGAAACGGUAGCUAAUACCGCAUACUAUCGGAUAACCCAUAUGGGAUUAGCUAGUAGGUGAGGUAAUGGCUCACCUAGGCGACGAUCCCUAGCGGUGCUGAGAGGAUGAUCAGCCACACUGGGACUGGGAACCGUCCCGGACUCCAACGGAGGCAGCAGUGGGGAAUAUUGCACAAUGGGCGCAAGCCGGCUGCGGCCAUGCCGGGUAUAUGAAGAAGUCCCUGGAGUUGUAAGGUACGUUCAUACGGGAGGCGUUACCGACAGAAGAAGCACCGGCUAACUCCGUGCCAGCAGCCGCGGUAAUUC
rnacentral:rRNA from 1 species